GACCAGCUAUCUGAAUCAACAGUAGCUUGGCAGAUAAAGACAUUAAGGAUAUGAAGAUAGGAAAAGUCUCUGACCCAUCAGAAAUCACUACUGAGAUGCUUAAAAUAUCUGGCAGAGUAGGAUAUGACCUAGUCGCCUGUAUAGUUAAGCAGGUUAUCCACAAGGGGGUCAUACCUCACUAUUGGUGUAGUAGCAUUAUAGUCAGCUGCUACAAAGAUAAAAGUGAUGCAACAGACAAAAAUAAUUACGGAGGCAUCAAAUUGUUGGACCAGGUGAUGAAAGUCACAGAAAGGACCAUUGCUCAAUUAAUUAGGAAGGGAGCUGGUAUAGAUGAGAAGCAGUUUGGAUUUGUGCCAGGUAGGAGCAUAAUUGAUGCUAUAUUCCUGGUUAAGUAACUGUAGGAGAAUUAUUUGACCAAAGAUAAACCUCUGUACUUGGCUUUCAUAGACAUGGAGAAAGCCUUUGACGGGGUCCCCUGCUCCCUUAUCUAGUGAUCAAUACAGAAGCUAGGGAUAGAUGAGUGGUUACUGAGAGCUGUGCAAACCAUGUACAGGGAUGCUGCCAGUUAGGUAAAGGUUGGCAAUGAGUACAACAAUGAAUUUAGUGUACAUGCACAUGUAGGAGUUCACCAAGGUUCAGUUCUCAACCCCUCUUGUUUAUUUAACAGAAGAAUUCAAGACCAGCUGCCCCUGGGAGCUCCUCUAUGCUAAUGACUUUGUUCUUAUGGCUGAAUCACUACCUGAUCUAGAGAAGAAAUUUCAGGUGUGGAAGCAAGGCCUGGAAUCUAAGGGCCUUAGAGUAAAUUUAUCAAAAUCAAAGUCCUAGUAAAUAGGAAAACAGAGCAAUCACAAGUCCCUUCAUGGAGAUGGCUCCACUCAAUAUGUAAGAAGGGUGUUGAUAGAAACUCCAUACAUUGUACCCAGUGCAAGCUUUGGACACAUAAGCAGAGCUGUAUCAUAGGAAGGGUAACAAUAAAAAGAGUCUUUGUGUGUGGCAAAUAUGCAUAUGCAAUAAGCACUGAAAAUGCUCUGACAAUAGACUCCCAUCAAAUGCUCAGAGGGAUCAUUAGAAGUUGUAGAUAGCAUCUAGGAGACCAAGUUAGAGGUGGUGGAGGAAGAUCUGAAAGUGUAGUUGCUAGAAUAAAAAUAGGCAAAGUUCAGGAAGCUUUUACUUUUAUUGGUAACUAAGUGCCUCUUCCUCAGAGAGAAAGGUAGAUUGUAUGAUGCCUGUAUAUGUGCAGCUAUGCUACAUAGCAACGAGACAUGGGCUUUGAAUACAGAAGACUUGAAAAGGCCUGAAAGAAAUGAGGUUAGCAUGCUCCACUGGAUGGAUAAUAUCAGUGUGCAUGCACAACAAAGUGUAAACGAUUUAAGAGGAAAACUGGGUAUAAGAGGCAUCAGAUGUUGUGUGCAGAAGAGAAGACUGCACUGGUUUGGUCAUGUGAUGUGUAUGGAUGAGGACAGCUGCAUAAAGAAGUGCUGAACCCUAAUUAUGGAGAGAACCUGUGGAAAGGGUAGACCCAGGAAGGCAUGGGAUGAGGUAGUGAGAAAGGUCCUUAAGAUGCUGGGCCUCAUUGAGGAAAUGACAAGGGACCAGAAGUUGUGGUGAUUUACUGUAUUUGAAAAGAUAGGUCAAGCUAAGU
rnacentral:lncRNA from 1 species